rnacentral:rRNA from 1 species
CUCAAAGGAAUUGACGGGGGCCCGCACAAGCGGUGGAGCAUGUGGUUCAAUUCGACGCAACGCGAAGAACCUUACCAGCCCUUGACAUGUCCAGGACCGGUCGCAGAGACGCGACCUUCUCUUCGGAGCUUGGAAUACAGGUGCUGCAUGGCUGUCGUCAGCUCGUGUCGUGAGAUGUUGGGUUAAGUCCCGCAACGAGCGCAACCCUCGUCCUUAGUUGCCAUCAUUAAGUUGGGCACUCUAAGGAGACUGCCGGUGAUAAGCCGCGAGGAAGGUGGGGAUGACGUCAAGUCCUCAUGGCCCUUACGGGCUGGGCUACACACGUGCUACAAUGGCGGUGACAAUGGGCAGCGAACCCGCAAGGGGGAGCUAAUCUCAAAAAGCCGUCUCAGUUCGGAUUGCACUCUGCAACUCGAGUGCAUGAAGUUGGAAUCGCUAGUAAUCGUGGAUCAGCAUGCCACGGUGAAUACGUUCCCGGGCCUUGUACACACCGCCCGUCA